UCACCUUGUCCUCGAUGUUUCUUGUGCUUGUAAAAUAUGUAAUAUGUAAUAUAUAAUCCCCAAAUUGGGUAAUUUGAAGAUAGCAAAUUGCUGCCCUCCGGUUUCUCCUUUCCCUUGCUUCCCUACUUUGUUUUUCCGAACGAUUCCUUCUUGAAUUGAAAGGGAAGACAGCUUGAACCAACGAUUCCCGUGGAAAGGAAUCCGUUGCCGCCGGAUAUCUGCUUGUCGGCAUAUUUCUGGUCCUAAGGUUGUCGCUCGUGCAUCUUCUGGAGAAGAGUUUUUUGGUUCAUGCUUCAAGUAUAUUAGGGGACGGUGAUUAAGGUCCCAAUUUUGAUCGGUAUGGGAGAUGUGGGUGUCCCUGUUGGAAGUUGCCUGUUUGCUAUGGCAGACCCAAGGUUGCUGAGAUUGUUUUCCCUUCAGACCUUCUGGUGUUGUGUAGAUAUUUUCUUACUGAUAUCUUUCAGUCUUCUUACUAACUUGCAGAUCUGUUAAGGGGUGUGAUGUAGGGUCAUACUAGGGUCUAAAAUUUCUAAUCCAGAUAUAUUAAGUGAUGCAAAAUAUAAUUUAACAAAACAUUUAAAGAUUCACAUGAUGAAGGCUAUUACUCCAAAAACAAUGAUAGAAACUAAUGUAGAUGAAAGAUUUAUGGCAUUCUAUUAAAAAAUAACAAUUACGAUUUAGGAUCACUUAGUCACCCACGUAAUUGAAAUAUCAUGCAAUCGACAUAAAUCCAAAUUAUAGCAAACUUUAAACAAAAAUGAACUCCUAAGAAGAAAGAGACGUAAAAUAAAUUCUGGAACAGAAGUCAUUAUAAACAAACCUCACUGUUGUUCAAGCUUGGAAUUCUUCAAUUCUCACACUUGAUCAAGAAUGAAAAUAUUGGAAGUAAAAAAAACAAUUUGUACAUAUAAAAUUUUAGUCAUAUAAUUACUUUUUUUGAAUGCCUAAAAAAUCUUCUUUAUAAUCAUUAAAACAACACUAGAAAUAGCUGCACUAACUUGGUCACGAUAAUCACAUCCAUAAGCCACAUAAACCAAUGAAAAAUCAUCUGCAGAAUACCCCCACUUUUUGCGAUAACCUCAAUGUGCAGCAGUCGAGGGUUCACUACAAUUCUGCUGCAAGUACCUCAGGUCACACUGCAGUCCCGCAAUGCAUGCAGAUGCACGAAGAAUCUGCAAGAUUGCCAAUAGGUUUCAAAGAAGCUGCAAAGAAGUCACAAACUCCAAUAGAAGGGUUUCACUGCUAUGGAUGGCUGUUUCUUUUGGAGUUUUCAUAGGCAUUUUGGUUGACUUAUAUCUGCUGCUGAUCAAGCUGGUGGAGCUGGAUAUCUUGGUUUUUGAUUCCCAGCUAUCCCUAUUUUAUUCUAGCUAAAGUAUUUUGAAGUGGAGCAGAGAAUGAAACGGUAUUAACUUAGCUCUGUAUUUAUUUGCUCAAUCUCAUUGGCUGUUGUUCAAUCCAAGACACGUGAAAAUAAAAGUUCUGGCGGGCUGCUCCAGCUUCUAGCUCAGCAUGCUGAAGGAACUCGGCCUUGAUAAGGUGGGACAAUUUCAACUUGACUCAGGGCAAGGAAGUGGAUUAUAUCAACUGGGUUGCAGAACAAUUUCUGAUUAUGUUGGUUGGUGCUUUCUGGAACAGUUGGGCUUGUUUGAAAGUUUAUCUUUCAUGUGGUGCAGAUGAUCUCAUCUAUUUGUUGGAGCCGUCACAGCAUUUACUUAUUUUACUUGUUUCUGUCCCAGUUAUCAUUUUCUGAAGCAGUGAGAUAAUAAGUUAACCAGCUGAGGUUGAUGAAGUUGGUAUGCACAAGUAUAACUUGUGAGGCAAGAAAUGCCUUUCUGGUCUUUUCAGGAUAUAGAACCCUUGACAUGCAACAAGAUUUCUGAAAAUUAGUCAAAGAAGAGCUUUGUCCUGAUCUUAGGAGCAGCUACACAUCUCUUAUUGUCGGGCAUUCAUUGUGCCCAUGAAGCUUCAGUUCACUUACUAAGUUAACAAUUUAUAUGUCCUUUAGUGUUUCAACAUCGUGGUGGUUCAUGUUUGUUAAGCCAUGACAAUUUGGCUUUUAUUGUACCAUUUUUAUAUAUUUUUGAUCCAGAAUCCUCAGUAGCCGCAUCUCCAGAAGUGAAUUUUCUUGUUAUCUAAGAUAUUUUUUUUUUUCAGUUACAAGAGGGAUUUAUGGAUAAUGUAAGUGAGUUUAUUAAUGCUUAUAGGGCAUUAUUUCAUUAAUGGAUUUCUAUUAAAGCUACUUUACCUUU